GAAUUCUGUUAACUGAGAUCCAUGACGUCGCGCCUCGACCGCGUUGGGGGAGAAUGACGCACCUGGUGUAAAGCGCAGAUUGUGAUCGUCAUCGUCACGACGACAGCGGACUCCACACAAAAAGUCAGUUGAAACCCAGAACCACAGCGCGACGUCUAGACGGGAUGCGAACCACGCCCUGCGGGUCUUCUGUCAGCCUGGAUUAUGUACCAUACAUAGCAAACAACUGAACAAAUACAUCGCCAUAUAAUUAGAAUAAUACGGCAGUAUAAAGCACCGUAAGAGUUAAUAUUAGAUUAAUACCAUAACCAUUGCAUAGCCCAUGUUUAACGUUUUUCCUUUUUAGCAUUUAUUCCACCACUUGUUUCAUAUUUGCUGACGACAUGACUUCUGGUGAGUUUGGAAACAUACAUUUUUGUAAUAAAUUAUGUGUAAACGGAACUAGUUGAUGCGUCUUCUUUGUAUCAUUUGUUGAAUUCAAAUAUGCAUGCGUCAUACCACCUGGACACUAGAGCAGCAGCGACACCAAACAAAUAAAAACAUGUCACUAUUUUAAAAUUGGGGUCUGGGGUGGGGGAAUGGAUGAUUAUGAUGAUCUUUAGUUUUCAAGCAACUUGAUUAAACAAGACAAGGCAAUUAGGUUCAGGCUCAGACAGAGAGGGACUGUGGUCCUAAAGGUUUACUAGAGUUUGUUGUUGUUUGGGAACGCAUUUUCUCCUCCUCCUCUUCCUCAUCAUCUUCCUCAUCCUCCUCUUCCUCAUCAACUUCCUCUUCCUCUUCUUCCGCCGGCUGGCGUCUGUCUCAGUGUUUCAACAGAGACGCUUACUGACUACACAGCUCACAGGAAGUCAGAGAUGGGAAAUAAGUUUCGGUAAUAGUAAGGGGACCAAUUCUGACCGAGCGCUAUCCCAUCGUACUCAGCCUGCAGCCCUAUUCGAGCUGCGAUGUCAACGUCAAGGGCAAGAACAGACACAGGGCAGAGUAAAAUAUCAUAAUGACAAUCUCUAUUGACAUCCAUUCUAUUCCGAAUGAGUGUUUUAGAAGCUCUCAUUGUCGUGUCUUUGAUUCGUCAAUCGCAUGUCGCUGUGUAUGAACCGCCCAGGCUAGAGAGGUAUCUCCAUGAGUGCCCACAGACACAUAAUCACACGUUUAGGUCCUGUGUUCACGCUCCACUGUGCCAGCUUGCCAGUCUGAAGAGAUGGAGGUGAUCGGUUAGAAUCGGGGUGAAGAUGUUGGCUGCGUUUUAGGUAGUGGGACUAUUGUCAAUUCUGUGUUGGAGUUUGUGUGUUUUAACAGAUUAGAACGCACUCACUUCUGAAUCCAAAUGAAUUUCUGGGUUCCUGGUUGCAUGAAUGUAAUAACGAGGUUGACUGAACACUAACUUCCCUCUUUUCCCUCUGGGCCAUGAGUCUACUUAGUAACUAAAGCUGUAGCAUUACAAAUUAACAGUUAGAUGCAAAGUUCACCAACGUGCUCCUGACAUUCAACAUUAAAGACUUUGACCUGCUUGCCGCUCAGUCUCAGCGUCUGUUCCUGCCCAGGGGCAUUUACACACAGAAUGUUAACUUGUGAAUAGGUUUGUCUGUGGGCACUCUUGGAGCUAGACGCCAGGGCAGUUCAUAGGAGCUUAUGUAUGUUGAACGAAACCAGACUACAGCUGGGAGAACUGUUAAACCCACAUUUAGAAUAGAAUGGGUGUCACCAUCUGCCCAAUGUUUGGAUACACCUACAAGAGGAGAGGGGGAUUAAACAAAACCAUGGAUGUUUUACUUCUGGACAAGGACCAUAUCACGAAUUAACCUUAAUAUCUAACUGUUUGAUCUAACAACGGUCCAAUAAACGUAACAAUAAUAACUAACUGACUCACUGUGGUCAUAAAAGAUCCCAGGACACUUAUCGCAAAGAGUAGGGGUUUCCCCGGUGUCCUGGCCCAACCAGGCUCAUUCAAUCUGGCCUCCUAAUAAUCCUCCUGUACAAUUGGCUGACUUAUCAAUUCCCUCACUCUCCACCUCAAGCUGGUGUGUGGUGAGCGUUCUGGCGCAGAUUGGCUGCCGUGCAUCACCCAAGUGGGUGCUACACACUGGUGGUGGUGAGUUAGGUCCCCCCCUUCUGUAAGCGUCUUUGGGUCAUUGAAAAGCGCUAUAUAAAUAUAA